rnacentral:rRNA from 1 species
UACAGAGGGGGCGAGCGUUGUUCGGAAUUACUGGGCGUAAAGGGCGCGUAGGCGACCUUCUAAGUCGAACGUGAAAUCCCCGGGCUCAACCCGGGAACUGCGUCCGAUACUGGAAGGCUUGAAUCCGGGAGAGGGAUGCGGAAUUCCAGGUGUAGCGGUGAAAUGCGUAGAUAUCUGGAGGAACACCGGUGGCGAAGACGGCAUCCUGGACCGGCAUUGACGCUGAGGCGCGAAAGCCAGGGGAGCAAACGGG